rnacentral:rRNA from 1 species
UACGUAGGGUGCAAGCGUUAAUCGGAAUUACUGGGCGUAAAGCGUGCGCAGGCGGUUUUGUAAGUCAGAUGUGAAAUCCCCGGGCUUAACCUGGGAACUGCGUUUGAAACUACAAGGCUAGAGUGUGGCAGAGGGGGGUGGAAUUCCACGUGUAGCAGUGAAAUGCGUAGAGAUGUGGAGGAACACCGAUGGCGAAGGCAGCCCCCUGGGUUAACACUGACGCUCGAUGCACGAAAGCGUGGGGAGCAAACAGG